UGGCUUACAGCUCCGGGGACUAGGCGAGAUCCACGCACCCUCUGUAUGCUCUGAGCGUGGUUCCUCCUGUUCACAGGCAACCUCUGGCAGCCCCUAGGUAAUCUGGAGUCCUUUUUCCAGCAUGAGUCCUCAGGAGCAGAAGCAGGAGGGCUACAGUGUCAAGUGCAGCUGUGCAAGGUCAGUGACUAGCCUGGUUUGGCUGUGGACCUGGGAGGGGGUCUGUGUGCUUGCAUCUCAGGGCUGCGGGGGGUGCCAAUGGCCGUAGAGCAGAGCCAGCUUUGUUACAGCACUGACACCAAUCAAAUUCCGCUUGUGAAAUGGGAGGUAUGGCCUGGGAUCCUUAGUCAACCACCCACAACAGAUUUAAUUGUUUUCAUAUAUCAUUUCCAAGUUCAAGCCAACAAAAAUACAAGGAGCCACGUUUGCUCUGCAUGGCAGGCUGAUGGUCACUUGAUAGAAAUGAACCACUGUGAGCGGCAGGGGGGUCGGACACCCAGGCUUGGGAUGCUUCUCUGCUGUCUGGCGGCCUCUGAAAAGGAGGGGAAGCAUCAGGCAAUGCAGCACGUGGCUGCAUUCAGUUCACGUAUAUCAUGAUGUAUAUCCAGAUCACAUCAGCAAGAUCUCUUAAUGCAGAAGGAAACCAUUAGCUAUCAUCACCAUCAUCUUCUCAGCUAAUUAUCCCGAGGCUUUUUAUUCGAUCAAAGGAAAAAUGUGAGCUGGUUAUUUCACUUGGAAGCAGGAGCACACCUGGUUGAAUGCAUCUGCUGCUAAAGGGAAAGCUAACAUCUCUGUCUCCAGCUGGAAAUCUCUGCACACCUCAAAAGCUCACUUUGCUUGGUAAUUUGAUCGUACAGGAGCAGUUACCAGUAACACCCAUCACAGGGACCGUGACAGUACCCCUGAGCAAGUGUGUAACUCCUUGCUUAGGAACAAGGACGGAGCCUAUGAACUCUUCUCUGGCUGCAUUUCCCAGCAUGGAAAUAUUCAUUAACGUUAUAUGUGAAUAAUUUAUAUUUUUAUUCAGCUUCCAACAGCCCUGGCAAGGAUUUGCCAGGUAACCUGAAACAUAUUAAAAGAAGCAAAGCAAGAUUACUCAGCUCACUCUGUUCUCAAACGCUUUCCUCUAAUUUAAUUCUUAGUAUCUCACAAGGAAACUCCCCAGACUGAGACUUUCCAUCUUAAAUUUCCUCCCAUCCUGCAUUCCUUUUCCAUAGUUAUACAGACUUAAUUUCUCACCUGAAUUGCACUUAGCUGUGGCUCCUUCUAAUCCUUGCACCAUUGACUUCAAUGGUAUUUUUCAUUAAAAAAUAAUUGUCGAUUUAAUUUUUGAAAUUUUCCUGAGUGAAAAUGGGAGGCUUUAAAGGCAUCUGCUGUAGGAAUGAUACAUACUGCACAUAAAAUCGUAUUGCACACACAGCAGUAACAUUUUUAUGAUAAAAUAGCAAAGAACAUUGUAAAAUUAAUACAGAAUGACUGAGUUAUUAUGUCUUUCCAUAUAAUUGAAGGCAAAUUUCUUAAUAAAUCACAUACAGCUAUAAUUCCAGGAGGGAAAAUAUUUUUCUUGAACGGGUGUCUCAGCAUGUACCUGGACACCUCUGCAAACAGCACUUGCCUCUCCAUAGCAUGGCUACUUGCUCUUAUUUGACCUUUUUUCCUACAUUCAUCUCCUUCAAGUUCAAAAAAUGGUAAAAACAUAUAUGCAGGGAUUGCAUUAAUAGAGCAAACAAUCACUUUAAAAGAAAAAAACCCAACACCCUUACUUCAGACAUAACACUAAGCCUUUUUUAGCUAGAAUACUUGACUGCUAAGGUAAGCCCAAUGAAAUUGAGCCUAAGAAAGGCUGAGGCAAUGCCCAAACCUUGUCUUUGCAGAAGCUCUUACAGGAAAAUGAGGUCUGUUGUGGGUUGCAGGUUUUGACUUCAUGCAGGGCUGCAAAUAGCUGCUGACAGCAUGGAGACCAUCUUGCUAGCUAAACCACCAUGAAUUGCCACAAUAUAAUUCUAGUUUUUAGAAUAAGCUGAAGCCUAAUGGCUUAACUGUUAUUAUCCAGCUGUAUGUUACCUUGACAGCUUUAUAUAUUAGUAAAAAAACAGAAAAGAGGGCAUAAACUUUGGAUUGAUUUUUCUCUUACUGAGGAAAACAGCCUUGCUGGUUGUUUGUUUUUUAAUUAAAAACUCUGACUGAAAUGGGAUUUUCAAACCCACAUAAUUUUGCUUGAAAUGCUAUGUCUCAUUUUCCAACAUAAUCUGUUCAUUUGUUGCAUAGUGAUAGAACGCAUACUACUAAACACCUGAAGAAAUGGUAUCUCAGGUCUGUGUUUCCUCAAAAAAUAGGGACAGAGGAAUUAAUUUCAGUGUCAAAAAUCAGUAAUAUUCAUAAAAUAUUGGCAAAAUAUAUUUUUAACAAUGUAUAAGUGAAUGAAAAUAUUAUCCCCUCCUGCCUCCCCGCCCCGCCCCCGGGAGUAAGUCAUUACUCUCAGUCCUAAAUGCCCCUGACUUUGCCAGCAGAAGCCAUUUAUUGACAGUGAGGUGAAUGUCUUAGUCCAGAGGCUUGAGCACUCCAGUAAAGUGAGACUUCAAGUAACGGGGGAAAAGGCCUGCUGUUCAUCAUGCAAAUAGUGAAAAUAAAGUUGAUUUUUCUCUUUUAACAUAGAUUUUUUUAAAAAAUCGAUUCGCAUGAAAUCUGGGGAGGUGGCUUUUGGCUAUGUUGUCCUUUAGCACAUUGAAGAGUAAACUGGACUCUUAAUUUUUCAGAAUUUUCAUUCUUUGGCAAAACUGUAAGUGCAACUGGAAAAGCAAGAUAUUUUUGUGUGGCACCAGGAGUCUUGUAUGUGAUGAUGUGUAACACAGCUAGUGAGAAAAGCAUAGCCCUGCGGGUUGGGAAGCAUAUGCUCUAGUUUACACUCUGCUGCUGGCUGCAUUUGUUUAUUUUUUUCCCCUUUUCCUUUACAGUUUCCUAGAUUUUAAUUUUUUUUUAAUUACGAUAAAAUUAAAUUAAAUGUAUUUUCAUCCAAGCGAAGGUUGGGAAGUGUUGGUGGAACUCCUGCCUGCACAGAGAGCACGUGACAACCACGGGAACAGGCUUUCUUCAGGCUUUGCAUACCUCCGCUGGACUUACUUGCACAAUCUUGUCACAUGCUUGGCUGAGAGGACACCUCAGCUGUGCAGGAUCUUGCCACUUUGUCACAUCCUCAGGUGCUCCACACCCAUCUCCCCAGUGCCCGGGGGUGCCAUGGGCAGCCCUGCUGCCACCAGCUCUCCUGUCCUACAGCAGCAGCCGGUGGUAGGUACUGGGGGGCAGCCAUGAGGCAGCAGCUGUAUGCUGGGUACCAAUGGGGAGGCGUUUUGUAAAUUUGUAAGUAUUUAAUGGAAAAAUUGAGGCUUGCCCAAAAGACAGAUCCUCGUGCUUCCUUCCACUGAAGCAAAUUUUGUCAGUCCCUCUGGCAGUACCAGGGAUCAGGCUCUUCGCUAUCUCGCAAGCAACAAAGGCAAUCACCCGAAAGCUGUGCACACAAGAGCUGUGCCCAGAGGCCAUUCCUCACCCCCUUACCUACCAAAACUGGAAGUUUCUGUGUGCAUGUGAUUGCAAUUUUCUAAGUCCCUCUGCAGCCGAGCUCUGCAGCUGCUGGUCCCCGCUUGCCUGGGCUUGGUCCCCUGGCGUGCCCUGCCCCACCUGCCCCCCCUUCCCCAGCCAGGGGAGCUCUCCUGGCUCCUGUUUGUGUGUGACACCGCGCUUCAUCUCCAUGAGUGCAGGUGUUACUGGAGCUGAUGGACGCAGGGCAGUGUCUUGCUUAGACCCAUGCUCUGCCAGAACAGGACUGCAUCACUUUGAAGCGUAAGUAAUCCAGGCCCUGCCAAGGGAGGCAAAGCCAUCAGCACAGUGGCUGGAGCUGGGCUAACCGCUCACGUAGAUCAGGUCUUUCUCAAGACCUUCUUAAUUAUCUCCCUCUCUGAUUGAGAUUGUAGAGGAAACAAAUCACCAAUGUUUUGAAAUGUGAAGGUUGUUGUCUUAAUACCGCACAGCCAGGUGAUGAUUUCAGGAUGCUGUGCUGCAGUUCUGCCUGUUAAUUAGGGAGUGCAGAGUAGUGGGGUGUUUGAGGCGGGAAUGGGCUUGGGCUCUAAAGAUAGCCAGUGCCCCACCAUGUGCUAUGACACCUACUCAGCGUAUUUCCUAUUUUCUGUUUGUUCCUGCUCUCACUGUGAAUAAUGUUUGCCUUGUGAGGAGUGGGGCUGGCAUAUUAAAGAGUCUGUUUGCCACUGGCAGGGCUGCACCCAGAAUAUAGCAUCCAGUUUUGGGGCGUUCUCCAAUUCAGGAGGGAUGUUAAGAUGCUGGAGGGGUUACAGUGAUGGGAUACCAAGAUGUUCAGUGACAUAAAGCUAUUACCUACAAGGAGAUGUUAAGGGAUCUGGUUUAUUUAGUCUGGUGAUGGUGUAGCAGUCUACAGUUACUUGAAGGGGACUUAGAAAGUAAGUGAAUCCAAACACUUCUUUCCAGUGGCAGAUGAUGCACACAAGUUAAAGACUGGGAGUCUCGAGGUGGCCACUAGGAAAAACCAUCUCUGCUGGGUGGGCAGCAUGGCACUGGAACAGGUCGCACAGAGGCGCAGAGAGGCUCUGAGCCCUCCAUCCCCACAGGUACUGAAGCCUUGGCAAGUCAAAACCAUGGCAGACCCAGCCUUGGUGACCUCCAGCAGCAGGGUGGCCCAGCUGACCUCCAGCGUCCCCUCCAACAGUUACAAAGCGCGUGGUUCAGGCAGUUUGCACGUUUCUGUGACAACAGACAUGGUUUACGAAGAGGCUGAAGCAUGGACCAAGUCAGGUUUGGGGGAACCUCCCACUGCCCAGGAGUCACCACCAUGUUCCAAUGGGGCCAAAUCCAGCCUGGGCUCCAGGUUAAGGUGCUUGGGGCCAUCUGCAGGGAAUGAACCCCCAGCUGUGGGUAUCGCGCCAGGUCCAGAUGCGGCCACAGGAGAAAGAACCCGGGAGGGAGGCAGAGCUCGGGAGCAGGCCCUCUUCUCCUCCGGCUGGGAAACCCAGUGAAGAGGUGGGGGUAAACCCAACCUGGUUCCCGGGCUGCCCCACACGGCAGGUGGUGCCCACCAGCUCACUGAGAGGAGGAACGACUCUGAACGACUCUGUGUGGCUGCAGUGGAAAGAGUUUGUGCAGGCCACUUUGGGGACAUAACAAUAGAUCAUUUCAUGAUCUUCAUCCACGACCAGGUGUUUGAGAUCGUUGGGCGUCAGCACGCGGCGCUUCCUGCUAGAUACACUGUUUGCUCGGCACGUGUCUGUCACUUGGUCUCGUCUAAUCUGAUGAAGAAUUGCUGUGUUGGACAACUGCCAAGAAAGCACAGGCACCGCUGACACACCUGACGCACCCUGGAAGAAGAGCUGACCUACCUGCUUCUCCCAGAGAACCAAAAAGUCCGUUUGGCUCUCCAUGAGGUUUAACGGUAACAGCCCUCUCGCUGAAGGAGUGGGAGAUAUGAAAGCCACACUUGCACUGCACUAGUGACAGGUAUGGCACCUGAGAGCUUUUAAUGGAGCUGCUGCAGAACCACCAGACUCUUCCCUGCAAGCUGCAAACCACAGAGGACACGCUCCAUGGUCUCCAGAGCCUACAGCACUGUGCGAGUUACAGGCAAGGCUUUUAAACUGCAGAGUAAUUUCACUCCUGAAGCUGGUGAGGGAAACUGGGAAGAGUAAGAUUACAUGAGACUGGAACCACAUUGUUUAAACUAGACGUCCGCUUGGCCAGUGAAAAUGUUCUCGCAACUAAUGAGGAAAAUACACCCUACAGAUUUAAGCACCCAGAGAGAUAAGACGCAAGGGACGGACAUCUUCAAACCCAUGGAUGGUGAAGGGCAAGUCAAACAAUUUGGGCCAUGGCCUGCCUUCCCCCAAAGCUGUUAUAGAUGUGGCUGCAGCGAGUUGUGAGACUGCAGCUGCUGCCCGGGCACAUUCCUAGAGGCCCCCGCUGAUCCCUCAGCCCAAGAGCCACAACAAGUAGUGGCCUAAAUCCCCCCAGCUGGGGAGAGGGAACUUCUAAGCAUGUGUGCAGGUUACCCUGACAGCAGUGUGGGGAUGGUGAUGGAGCCAGUGCUCGGGCCUGUCCUCUGACAGCUUGGACUUCAGCUGGGCAUUAAAGGUUUUGGGAAGACACCUGAUAAAAGCAUUUGUUCUUCCUUGAAAGGACUGUCAACAACACAGAUGCACUCGAUCGCAGUGUGGUUUUCCUGCAGAAGGCAUAAAGGGGGACAGAGAAGAAGGGCAUGUCAAGAUCAAAGUUUUUCUUCCUCUUCUGAUGCAGCAACCGAGUCAAACAGGGAGGCAACAUGAGCAGUGGGAGACUCCCAAGCUCAGUGGCAUUUAAAAGAAGAAGAAAAAAACCAGCAGUGUGGGGACACUGAUCCCAGAGGCUUCUCAUCUCCACCAGUCCCAAAGGAACAACAAGGGAGGAAAGCUAAGUCCAGCACACUCUCUCUGCUCAUGUGGACAUCUUCUGUACAGCCG